CACGUGGUAUCCUGUCUGAAUAUGGGGGGACCAUCCUCCAAGGCUAAAUACUCCUGACUGACCGAUAGUGAACCAGUACCGUGAGGGAAAGGCGAAAAGAACCCCGGCGAGGGGAGUGAAAAAGAACCUGAAACCGUGUACGUACAAGCAGUGGGAGCCUCUUAAUGGGGUGACUGCGUACCUUUUGUAUAAUGGGUCAGCGACUUAUAUUCUGUAGCAAGGUUAACCGAAUAGGGGAGCCGAAGGGAAACCGAGUCUUAACUGGGCGUUAAGUUGCAGGGUAUAGACCCGAAACCCGGUGAUCUAGCCAUGGGCAGGUUGAAGGUUGGGUAACACUAACUGGAGGACCGAACCGACUAAUGUUGAAAAAUUAGCGGAUGACUUGUGGCUGGGGGUGAAAGGCCAAUCAAACCGGGAGAUAGCUGGUUCUCCCCGAAAGCUAUUUAGGUAGCGCCUCGUGAAUUCAUCUCCGGGGGUAGAGCACUGUUUCGGCAAGGGGGUCAUCCCGACUUACCAACCCGAUGCAAACUGCGAAUACCGGAGAAUGUUAUCACGGGAGACACACGGCGGGUGCUAACGUCCGUCGUGAAGAGGGAAACAACCCAGACCGCCAGCUAAGGUCCCAAAGUCAUGGUUAAGUGGGAAACGAUGUGGGAAGGCCCAGACAGCCAGGAUGUUGGCUUAGAAGCAGCCAUCAUUUAAAGAAAGCGUAAUAGCUCACUGGUCGAGUCGGCCUGCGCGGAAGAUGUAACGGGGCUAAACCAUGCACCGAAGCUGCGGCAGCGACGCUUAUGCGUUGUUGGGUAGGGGAGCGUUCUGUAAGCCUGUGAAGGUGGCCUGUGAGGGUUGCUGGAGGUAUCAGAAGUGCGAAUGCUGACAUAAGUAACGAUAAAGCGGGUGAAAAGCCCGCUCGCCGGAAGACCAAGGGUUCCUGUCCAACGUUAAUCGGGGCAGGGUGAGUCGACCCCUAAGGCGAGGCCGAAAGGCGUAGUCGAUGGGAAACAGGUUAAUAUUCCUGUACUUGGUGUUACUGCGAAGGGGGGACGGAGAAGGCUAUGUUGGCCGGGCGACGGUUGUCCCGGUUUAAGCGUGUAGGCUGGUUUUCCAGGCAAAUCCGGAAAACCAAGGCUGAGGCGUGAUGACGAGGCACUACGGUGCUGAAGCGACAAAUGCCCUGCUUCCAGGAAAAGCCUCUAAGCAUCAGGUAACAUCAAAUCGUACCCCAAACCGACACAGGUGGUCAGGUAGAGAAUACCAAGGCGCUUGAGAGAACUCGGGUGAAGGAACUAGGCAAAAUGGUGCCGUAACUUCGGGAGAAGGCACGCUGAUAUGUAGGUGAAGCCCCUUGCGGGUGGAGCUGAAAUCAGUCGAAGAUACCAGCUGGCUGCAACUGUUUAUUAAAAACACAGCACUGUGCAAACACGAAAGUGGACGUAUACGGUGUGACGCCUGCCCGGUGCCGGAAGGUUAAUUGAUGGGGUUAGCGGCAACGCGAAGCUCUUGAUCGAAGCCCCGGUAAACGGCGGCCGUAACUAUAACGGUCCUAAGGUAGCGAAAUUCCUUGUCGGGUAAGUUCCGACCUGCACGAAUGGCGUAAUGAUGGCCAGGCUGUCUCCACCCGAGACUCAGUGAAAUUGAACUCGCUGUGAAGAUGCAGUGUACCCGCGGCAAGACGGAAAGACCCCGUGAACCUUUACUAUAGCUUGACACUGAACAUUGAGCCUUGAUGUGUAGGAUAGGUGGGAGGCUUUGAAGUGUGGACGCCAGUCUGCAUGGAGCCGACCUUGAAAUACCACCCUUUAAUGUUUGAUGUUCUAACGUGGGCCCCUAAUCGGGGUUGCGGACAGUGUCUGGUGGGUAGUUUGACUGGGGCGGUCUCCUCCUAAAGAGUAACGGAGGAGCACGAAGGUUGGCUAAUCCUGGUCGGACAUCAGGAGGUUAGUGCAAUGGCAUAAGCCAGCUUGACUGCGAGCGUGACGGCGCGAGCAGGUGCGAAAGCAGGUCAUAGUGAUCCGGUGGUUCUGAAUGGAAGGGCCAUCGCUCAACGGAUAAAAGGUACUCCGGGGAUAACAGGCUGAUACCGCCCAAGAGUUCAUAUCGACGGCGGUGUUUGGCACCUCGAUGUCGGCUCAUCACAUCCUGGGGCUGAAGUAGGUCCCAAGGGUAUGGCUGUUCGCCAUUUAAAGUGGUACGCGAGCUGGGUUUAGAACGUCGUGAGACAGUUCGGUCCCUAUCUGCCGUGGGCGCUGGAGAACUGAGGGGGGCUGCUCCUAGUACGAGAGGACCGGAGUGGACGCAUCACUGGUGUUCGGGUUGUCAUGCCAAUGGCACUGCCCGGUAGCUAAAUGCGGAAGAGAUAAGUGCUGAAAGCAUCUAAGCACGAAACUUGCCCCGAGAUGAGUUCUCCCUGACUCCUUGAGAGUCCUGAAGGAACGUUGAAGACGACGACGUUGAUAGGCCGGGUGUGUAAGCGCAGCGAUGCGUUGAGCUAACCGGUACUAAUGAACCGUGAGGCUUAACCUU
rnacentral:rRNA from 2 species